GGAUAGAGUAAUUUGAAAGUGCCACAGUGACGUAGCUUUUAUAGAAAUAUAAAAGGUGGAACGCGGUAAACCCCUCGAGUGAGCAAUCCAAAUUUGGUAGGAGCACUUGUUUAACGGAAUUCAACGUAUAAACGAGACACACUUCGCGAAAUGAAGUGGUGUAGACAGAUGGUUAUCACCUGAGUACCAGUGUGACUAGUGCACGUGAUGAGUACGAUGGAACAGAACAUGGCUUAUAGAA
rnacentral:RNase_P_RNA from 1 species